rnacentral:rRNA from 1 species
CCAAUAGCGUAUAUUAAAGUUGCUGCAGUUAAAAAGCUCGUAGUUGAAUUUCGGGACUAAUAUGUCGGUCGUGCCUCGGUACGUACUGGCUUAUUGGUUUCUCCUUUCUGAAGAACCAUGAUGUCAUUUAUUUGGUGUCGUGGGGAAUCAGGACUGUUACUUUGAAAAAAUUAGAGUGUUUAAAGCAGGCUCACGCUUGAAUACAUUAGCAUGGAAUAAUGAAAUAGGACGUUUGAUUCUAUUUUGUUGGUUUCUAGGAUCGACGUAAUGAUUAAUAGGGAUAGUUGGGGGCAUUAGUAUUCAAUUGUCAGAGGUGAAAUUCUUGGAUUUAUUGAAGACUAACUACUGCGAAAGCAUUUGCCAAGGAUGUUUUCAUUAAUCAAGAACGAACGUUAGGGGAUCGAAGACGAUCAGAUACCGUCGUAGUCUUAACCAUAAACUAUGCCGACUAGGGAUCGGAUGAUGUUAAUUUUUUAAUGACUCAUUCGGCGCCUUACG